rnacentral:rRNA from 1 species
UACGGGGGGGGCAAGCGUUGUUCGGAAUUACUGGGCGUAAAGGGCUCGUAGGCGGCCAACUAAGUCGGAUGUGAAAUCCCCAAGCUUAACUUGGGAACUGCAUCCGAUACUGGAUGGCUUGAAUCCGGGAGAGGGAUGCAGAAUUCCAGGUGUAGCGGUGAAAUGCGUAGAUAUCUGGAGGAAUACCGGUGGCGAAGGCGGCAUCCUGGACCGGCAUUGACGCUGAGGAGCGAAAGCUAGGGGAACAAACGGG